AUUGCCCUACGAUCUUGUUCUCUGCCACGCAAGGUCAAUUUGUGUCGUUAUGUUUUUAGUAUUUUCAAAAUUUUGAUUUAAACUUUUUGAUUCAAAUGUAGUAGAUCAAAUAAUUUGUUGUUUUACAAGCUUGGAUGGUCUAAUUAAGAAGUUGUAUAUGGAUCUGUUUAUAGUUUUGCAGGUCUUAAGGUUCGUUGUAGCUUUAAUUUUAAUAAUCCCUUGAAGAGUUAUGGCUU
rnacentral:lncRNA from 1 species